UCCGACCACAAGCAAAAAUAUAGGAGCAGGGAGCCAGGGACACCUCACGAGCACAACGACAGGUGUCAGAAAGUAAGAGCUCACUUCACUUCCAUCGCCAAGGUUGAGAUUGGGCUGCUGCUCGCGCUCGCUCGUCGGAAGCUAGCUCAGAUGGGUGCCUCUGUGGCUGCUCCGUCGUCCCACCGCUGCUGCCAGCUGAUACCGCUGCGGAUUGUCCCGCUGCUCGGCGACAGCUUGAGAUGCGCCCGCGGGGCGGUUGACACGGGCGGGCUGAUCCAGGCGGAGUUUCCCAAGGUGUUCCUAUUCGGGAUGGCAACUUUGGGAUUCCAGGUCGAGGGCAUGGCCACUGGAGGCGGCCGCGAGCCCUCCAUCUAGGAUCCCUUCGUCCACACGGCUGGAAAUAUCGCGGAAAACGCGAAUGCAAACAUGACCACAGAUGAGUACCAGCUCUACAAGGAAGAGGUUGAUCUGCUGAAGAUUAUGUCGCCCUGGCAGGGGGAGAUCCGGAGCACCAUGUUGGCGGCUGCAGGCGUCCGUGCCUUCAUGGGCUGUAGCUUGUAGUGUUGCUUGCUGGAAGCUUUUUUGUCACGACGGAGGACAUCAGAGGAGGAAGAAGAAGCACUCUGUUGCGAAUGGUGUUGGUGGCUUACUGUCUGGUACGCUGCUUUUCCUUAACACUUGCCGCUGCUUUUUUUUACACUUGCAAUAAGCCAUUAUACUGUAGGCAAUUUCCUAAUGCAUCUUUGUUUUGGGGAAAACUGAAUUCCGGAAACAAUGGUACAUGAUCCCUUGGUGUUUUUCCAAGGGCUUCAUUGUUUUGUUGGGCCGUUUGGUCGUAACACCUAGUGUAUCAAUUAAGGGCAACAGUUUACUGAAAGAAUGGAAAGGUAAGUUUCAUAUUCGAUAA